rnacentral:siRNA from 1 species
AGUAGCUAACUUUGUCAAAGCCU